AAUUAACCUCCAACAUUUUAUCCCCAUAUGACCCAUAUUAUACUCACCAUUCUCAACAUAACUCACAACCUAAUUCUCAUUUCCAUACAUUUCCACAUUGGCAAACACCACAAUCACCCCCAAAGCCACCACCACAACCAUAUUACUCAACCUUUCAUCCAUCUUAUUCUACUUAUCCUCCUUUUCUUCAAUCACCCUCAC
rnacentral:lncRNA from 1 species